AUUUAAUACAGUUCCUCGUGAGAUUUUACACUGGUUAAAAAAAACCGUGAAAAGGUGCUAGUGGAGGGAAGCAGUAACCGCUAACAUACAUAGGCGACCACCACAGUGGAUCUAUGAUAUAGACGGAGCGACUGGCGUCCGGUUAACACAACAGGUGUUCGGUCGGAUACUAAAGUGAAAAGGUUUUAGAAACUUUCAGCUGGCGUCAAGACGACCAUAUUACAUUAAUAAUUACGGACGAUUCUCGACGGUCAUAUUAUGUAUGCAUAGUCAGCGGCUGCACAGCGACUCUUCGACUUUCGAAUCGUCCAGUACCAGAGCAGCUGAUCGAUUGUAAUAUAUUUGUGUCGGCUGGGAACCGAACAAUUCCACGUAGACCCGUCGGUGAUUAUACCCACCGAGGUCCGAGGCUCUCGUCGUGUGGUAUCCGAAAACGGUGGUCAUGUAUUACAAAUGAAAGCUUUCAAGCGGGUGUCUUCAACAGUCAUCUUCCGUCUGACCAGAUGAUCUCUUUAUAUUAUAAACGCGAAGUUUAGUUGUCACUGCCGCCGAAUUCCCAACUUAGUACUUUUGGAUUUGCAUCUUCCAUGUUGUGACGAGACGUAUAUUAGCCAUUUGGCCAUAUAGGAUAACGUUCGAAUCUGGAAGUUCCCGAAAGCCCCAGCCCGUCGCACCUAACCAUCAAUUCUACGACUUAACGUGAUGGUACUAUAAUGGUAGCCUGCCACCUGCGAUUACAGCGUUUACUGUAGGAUAUUACACACUUAAGACGUCCCUAACGAAUGGAAUCUACAAAUCAACCAUGUUCGAGAAUAUUAGAUGUCUAUAUUUCCAUAAAUAUAAAAUAUUAUAUUAAACGCGUUUGCGCCGAUCCGCGAUCAACUGCAGUAGGUGCCUAACAAUAAUCGACGUCGGGCCAAUCAACAGCGAAGGCAGCCAAUGGUGUCUGAUGGAAUAAAAUAUCAUCCAGGGAAAAAAACAAUCUCCCCUCUGGCCGCUGUACCUACACUUUUAUACGUACCUUCCAUAUAUAUAAUAAUUAUAUACACCGACGUAACGAGCGCGAUCAAAGAUGAAGACGAAGAAAUAUUGUUUUUUUUUAACUGCGAAUGCUGAUUAUUUGAAAUUUAUUUAUAAUCUCCGGAUAAUGGCGUCCAUGCCACUUUUUAAUAGACUGCAGCAGGCGAAGAUUAAUGUGUGUGCAAAUAUAGGCAAAAUAACCAAUAAAUGAAAAUAAAAAAAGGAAAUGAGAGUAAGGUAAAACGAUAACAUUGUUUAUAACUUAUAAGUGUUAUUAGUGCACAGUGUUAUAGUCUUGAUUGUCAUUGGACC